UACGUAGGGGGCAAGCGUUAUCCGGAUUUACUGGGUGUAAAGGGAGCGUAGACGGCAGUGCAAGUCUGGAGUGAAAGGCGGGGGCUCAACCCCCGGACUGCUCUGGAAACUGUACGGCUGGAGUGCAGGAGAGGUAAGUGGAAUUCCUAGUGUAGCGGUGAAAUGCGUAGAUAUUAGGAGGAACACCAGUGGCGAAGGCGGCUUACUGGACCGUAACUGACGUUGAGGCUCGAAAGCGUGGGGAGCAAACAGG
rnacentral:rRNA from 1 species